rnacentral:lncRNA from 1 species
UGACCAGCCGCCGAUGGAGCGAGUUUCCACUUUGGCACUAGGAGCGGUGUCAAAAAAGUGGGUGCUAUCGGCAGAAGAUAUAUCUAGACCGGUGAGCAUGGCUACAUCGGCAAGAGUAGGAGAAGCAGGGCCGUGGCCAAAGACAAAAGCGUUGAGGGUGUCUGACCAAAAGUAAGAUGCAGCUAUCAACAGUGACUCAUUCCUGUGCAUAUCGGCAAUGGACAAUCUAAUGCAUUGAUCUAGCUUUCUCUCACCCCACUGGACUUCAUUGGAGUUGCUGACCCUCAAGAACCAGUCUUUCCACCCUACAGUAGGGCUGGGCCAAGAACGGAAGGUGUCUUUCCACAGAUCUAAAGAAAAAUUUUCGGUUCUGAAAGGGAUCCUGUUGGUUUCUGCGUUAAUAAGAUCGGUUGGAUCUGGAUCCCCU